rnacentral:miRNA from 17 species
CAGAUUCGUUUCUAGGGGAGUC